CCUCACAACAGGAGUAGAGUUUGUUCUGCACUUCCAAGAGCCACCUGGUCCCAGAUUCUGCACAAAAAGCUUAGAAGCCCAGCAAGAGACAUCAAAGGUAAACACUGUGUCUUACAAGGUGUUUGAAGAUGCCUUCUUUAAAGCCACUAGUUGCCAGUGACAUUUACUGCACUUUCUCUUUACUUCACUCUCGCAUAAUUUUGGCUUUGAUUACACCUCUGCAGAAAGAGAAGUGAACUUUUGUUAGAGGCAUUAUAGACAAUUUACAGUACCAUAUUCGAAUAUAUUUUUGAGGCAGUUCAUCAAGCAACAAUUCAUUUAGCAGUCUGGAAAAAUUACAAGUAAUUGGAUCCUUAGUGUUGAUUAGUAGCUGAUAUUCUGUCUAAAAUUAAUCCUCAGGAUGAUACAGGAGGUCUCAGCUGGGAAUUUAGCUGCUUGAAAUUUGAGUAUUAUUUGGACCUAAAUUAAAGUGUUUUCGCAAAAACUGAGAAACUAAUACAUCUUCUUGUCAAGCCGAGGUGUUAGAAGUAAUUCAGGUGCUUUGACUGCAGGCCAAAUCAAAGCACUUUACAAAGGAAUCAUGCAGCAUUAGUUGCAGAACAUGCAUAGUGUUCAGCAACUUAAAGGGCAAAUGUAUUCAUGAGGACAUGUAAUAUUAUGCAUGUUUGGCAAAUGAAUAUGAAGAAAGUAUCUGUUAGAGGGGGAUCAGAAUACUGAAAAAAAAACCUGUGGCUCACGUUCAGGUGGGCAGCUUGGAUGUUAUUCCAAUGCCAGAUUUCUGCAAGGAAGUUUCAAGAAUUCUCAAGAAAACUAAAGGGUAUACUUCAGCCUUGAGAAUUCAAAUAGGUGCUGUUGCUGCCAUAUGGCAGAGCUGCUUUCAAAGCAAAUACAGGGUUUUUGCUCUUCUGAAAGACCAGAUGGCAAAGAGCUUGGUAUCUAGAAGCUGCCUCACCUAGGUCAUCAGUAGCAGUCAAUUGUAUGGGACAAAAAGUAAUUUUAAUCUGGUAGCUUUUCAGUAGUUUAUCUAAACCACAAAUAAUGUAUGCCUUUAUUUCCCAAAUAGACAAAAUUUUAUAGUAAGAUCCUCAUGAUUUAUUAUACUUGUUCUUGUGCGAUAUUGACAAGUCAUAAUUUGAUGCACCAGAAAUGUGAAUUAUCCCUUUAAGAAGUGAUCCCUUCAUCUUAAAGGACUUAUCAGUAACUUGUGUAUUGUGCAAACCUUCCUGAGAUGUAGGAAAACCCAGACUCUAGCACCGCUGGCCAAACGCCUUCUGAAAGCAUUACAACUACUUAAAGCAGGUACUUUUUGCAUUGUUAGAGCAGGUGAGAAAGAAUUGCAACAUAGGAUAUCACCCAAACCUGAUCAUAAAUGCUGUAUUUGUGAUUUGUCUCCUAAUGAAGGCUCCAGAACAAGCUCCCACAGAAAUUGCAUGACAAGAUGUGACCAGACCUCAGUGAAGUUGUUAAAGUGUGUCUACAUUUGUACUUUAGUUCAGAGCAGUAGUGGAGUAAGUUCCCCAGCUGUCCCCAUUUACUGUGUGUUGGUGUGCGUUACAGUGAGCUGUCAAUAUACAGAAUCUGAAUUUCUUUUGGAUGAAGAUCUGCUCCAGAUGCCCACCUAAAGAACACCAAGACCUCAUUGGGAAUAGAAGGCUCCAAACCAGCAGGUUAAUGCACUGCCAUGAAAUUUUAUGGCAUGUGUGGAAAGUGCAUGCACCAGUAAAGUGCUCUUCAACCAGGUUGAGUCAUCUUGUGAUAACCCUGAAUCCUCCUUGUGCUGUGUAAAGGCAUUUGCACCUUCAGAGUUCCUGUCAGCUACCAGACCUCAGCUCUGGGAAUGGGUCUUCUUUAUCCCUCUGAGGCAUCCCCUCUAGAUUUUCAUCAAUAUAAAAAAAAGAGGAGAAAUUAAAUCAAUAGCAGACACAGUCAUUCUAAAAAUCAUCAGUUCAAAAUUUCAAUUAUUUUUUCCUUCUUGAAACAAAGCAUGUUUUCUGGGGUUUCCUUUUCAGUUAUGGAUUAGGCUUUCCUGGUUUGGCCAUUUGACAUGAGAAAUAAUUAUGCAAGGACAAAAAAGAAAAACAUUGAACAUGGGAAACAAACAAUCUUAAUCUUUUUCUGACUAAAACAAAAGCAUCUGAUCUAAUCUGCUUCUGACAAUCUUAGUUGCUGACUUUCCUUUUGUUUAAUUUAAUUUCUCUCAGUUCUUCACACAGCCACAUCUUACCUCUUGGAGAAGUUUCAGGACUUCCUGUCUCGUUGUCCUACUUGAAAACCACACAGAUAGUAAAUAAUUUUGUGCAAGAACUGGGGAUGGAGCAAUUUUUUAUCAGUUCUUAGCAGGCCUUUGUGAUUGCCAUGGUACAGCAGUCAUGUAAUUUCUGCUGAUUGAUCUCCAUUGGUAUCCUCAGGCAUCUGUUGAAACAUAGGAGGAUAAUCAGAAUUCAUGUUCAACAGCCCAUCAAGCAUGCUUUAAGCUCUCCUCAGACCCAACUGCCAAACAUGUUACUGAAAGAGUGCCAAAAUAAAGAUGUAUUUGGCAUAAGGAAAGAAAAUACUGCCCAGUUGUGUAAGUACCUCUUUCUGAAGGCUGCAGCAUGCCUUAGAAAAGACUAAUUGCAGAUGGAAUUUGCACAGGCACUGUUCGAGGUAUCAGACAUGGCCCAUGCCAUCUAUUCAAUACACACCUCACACCAGCACAGCAAAUGAAAGACACAGUAUAUUGAGGGUGUAUUGAUGCAAGUCAAUUCCCUAAACCAUGAAGACAAUUGUAUCGGUGAAGAUAAGAGUAUUUUCCAAUUGCUGCCUGAGAUCCAUCCAUCACAGGAACAAAAUCCCACUUUAGCUACACCUGGAAACUUAAUAUAAAUAAAGAAGUGCCAGUAGGUAACCAGGAAGUUAGUAUGUAAGGUUUAAUAAUUCUACACUGUAUCCUGGCCUCAGUCUCAAUCAUCUAUCCAUAAAGAUAGACUGGUUAAAACUAGCAUGGCUAACCAGCACGCAUACACUUUAUUCUCCCUCAGAGCAGACCUCAGGCUGCCUUGACAAGUAACAGAUGGAAUUUUACCUUCACUUGGACAAAGUUUCAGCAAGGCAAAAAACUGAUUUAGAAGCACUUUAAUAUGCUGCUCCAGCACCAUGCCUACACAAUCUAUAUAACCAGCCUCCUAUCUGACUGCACUCUCCAGAACGAGCAAAGACAUAAGCUCCUCAAAUUAUCACUGUGACAGGCCAGAUUUCCUAUUACUUACAGAUAUCUAUUUCAUGUAAUUUUUCAAAGACAGAAGCAUACUCAGUAUAAACUAAAUAUAAUAGACAUGAAAUAGUGACUCUUCCCGUAUGCAGGGGAAAUGUGUAAUGAAAACAGGGUUUUAGGAGGCCAGGCUCGUUCUCCUGUCAACAGGCACCGGCCUGAGCAAGCCACAAGGGGGAGCGCAAACGCUGUUUGAAAAUGCAGCAAAGGGGAGGCAGAAGAGCCAGCUCCAGGCUGCGUUGGAUGCCAAGCCUGUUGCUAAUAACCUGCAUUCUAAUUUGUACUGAAAAUCAAUUUAAUUUCCUCUCCAGCUUUAAUGCGUUACAAGUAAUUCUUCAAUACUAAUCUGGUAAGGAGAGAGAGAAAAAGUCAUUCAUAAUGUUUGGCUUGCACUGGAUAAAUGAGAAGCCAAGCCAGGUCAGAGCAGCAGGCAAAGCUGCCUUGGGUAUCAGACAAGUGGGACAAGGCGGAACCGCUUGCCUGCAGCAAAAGAAAGGGAGAUCAGCUGUGCUCUUCUCUCUCCUGCUUUUCAUCCUGCUCUAGCUGCCACAGAGGGAGGGACUUGAGCAUGUGCAAGUAGCAGUCCAACUCAAAAGGGGCACCUACUGCCAACCUUUAACAGCAGCAGGAGCUGGCAUCCCCACCCUCUGGGACUGUUCCAGCCUCACCCCCCUCCUCCUCUUUUCCUUUGUGAUAGACAAAAAAAUAAGGCUCCUUAACUGCGGUGAAAUAGACUGUCAAAAGAAAUACCUGACAAGAGAUAUUUUAAACCUGGGAUGUUUAUAUGUGGGUCAAAUAUGAGAUUG